GACGAACGCUGGCGGCGUGCCUACACAUGCAAGUCGCGCGGGGGGAGUUCUUCGGAACGAACCUAGCGGCGGACGGGUGAGUAACCCGUGGGCAACCUGCCUUGAGGAGGGGGAUAACAGGAUGAAAGUCCUGCUAAUACCGCCUAACCCGGUGCCGUCGCAUGAUGGCAUCGGCCAAGGAGCAAUCCGCCUCAAGAUGGGCCCGCGGCGCAUUAGCUAGUUGGUGGGGUAACGGCCUACCAAGGCGACGAUGCGUAGCCGACCUGAGAGGGUGAUCGGCCACAUUGGAACUGAGACACGGUCCAGACUCCUACGGGAGGCAGCAGUGGGGAAUAUUGCACAAUGGGCGAAAGCCUGAUGCAGCAACGCCGCGUGAGCGAUGAAGGCCUUCGGGUUGUAAAGCUCUGUCUUCGCUGACGAAAUCUGACGGUAAGCGAGGAGAAAGCCACGGCUAACUACGUG
rnacentral:rRNA from 1 species